rnacentral:lncRNA from 1 species
AAAAAAUGAACUGCUAGAAGUUUGGUCGGUUCCUAUGGGCUGCAAUGGUGGCGCUGCUACUUUUGGCAAUGGCGGCUCAUGCCUGCUACGACGACAAUUAGCCCUGCCUGUAUCCAAAUGACUGUUGCAGUGGCUAUUGCUUUCUUUAUGGUCCUGGUAUAGGGACGUGCUUGACACAGUAGUUCCGAUCCGAAGGUGGCCGAUGAGAGGAAUAUCAGUUUAUCCACCUCAUCUUCUUGGUUGUAUGACUUUCGUCGCAAGAUUUGUUGCUUUUGUGGCUAAUGGCGUUAUCAUUUACUGUUGUUGUUCUUGUUAUUAAUUACUAAAAUUUCUAUGAAUUAUCAAGAAAUAAAAAAGCUAAUAAAUGAACAACGAAAAUAAUCAUGCUUUGUAACAAAAUUCAGUGUGACAACAUCUAAUGGUGUUGACUUCGGAAGGUGCGUUCCGUCGUAAUCCUGAUCCCGAGAUGACGGAGGGGACGAAUAUAUCAGUUUACUAAUGGUGUUACUAUUUAGGUUAAGGUAUAUCAUAAACCCCUAUACUCUUUAAAAUUUUAAAAUUUAGUUUAUGUAUCUACUUUCUAAAUUUUAAAAUUCAGUUAGUAUUUCUUUUUUUUUUAAAUUCAAGUUAAUUGCAACGUCAUUUGUUUUAAUUAUAUGGCUAC